CUCAAAUCAGGUAGGACUACCCGCUGAACUUAAGCA
rnacentral:rRNA from 1 species